AGUGAACGCUGGCGGUAGGCCUAACACAUGCAAGUCGAACGGCAGCACAGUAAGAGCUUGCUCUUACGGGUGGCGAGUGGCGGACGGGUGAGGAAUACAUCGGAAUCUACUUUUUCGUGGGGGAUAACGUAGGGAAACUUACGCUAAUACCGCAUACGACCUACGGGUGAAAGCAGGGGAUCUUCGGACCUUGCGCGAUUGAAUGAGCCGAUGUCGGAUUAGCUAGUUGGCGGGGUAAAGGCCCACCAAGGCGACGAUCCGUAGCUGGUCUGAGAGGAUGGACCAGCACACUGGAACUUGGGACCGGUCCCGGCUCCUACGGGAGGGAGGAGGUGGGGAUAUUGGGCAAAGGGGGGAAAGCUUGUCCAAGCCUUCCGGGGGGGUUGAAGAAGGCUUCCGGUUGGAAAAGCCCUUUUGUUGGGAAAGAAAGCAGGCAGUUUAUUCCCCGCUGUUCUGACGGGAACCAAAAGAUAAGCACCGGCUAACUUCCUG
rnacentral:rRNA from 1 species